rnacentral:rRNA from 1 species
CCUACGGGAGGCAGCAGUGAGGAAUAUUGGUCAAUGGACGAGAGUCUGAACCAGCCAAGUAGCGUGAAGGAUGACUGCCCUAUGGGUUGUAAACUUCUUUUAUAAAGGAAUAAAACGAGGCACGUGUGCCUUUUUGCAUGUACUUUAUGAAUAAGGAUCGGCUAACUCCGUGCCAGCAGCCGCGGUAAUACGGAGGAUCCGAGCGUUAUCCGGAUUUAUUGGGUUUAAAGGGAGCGUAGAUGGGUUGGUAAGUCAGUUGUGAAAGUUUGCGGCUCAACCGUAAAAUUGCAUUUGAUCAUGGCAGUCUUGAGUACAGUUGAGGUAGGCGGAAUUCGUGGUGUAGCGGUGAAAUGCUUAGAUAUCACGAAGAACCCCGAUUGCGAAGGCAGCUUACGAAACUGAGACUGACAUUGAUGCUCGAAAGUGUGGGUAUCAAACAGGAUUAGAUACCCGAGUAGUC